rnacentral:rRNA from 1 species
UUACCUGGCCUUGACAUACUAAGAACUUUCCAGAGAUGGAUUGGUGCCGUUCGGGAACUUAGAUACAGGUGCUGCAUGGCUGUCGUCAGCUCGUGUCGUGAGAUGUUGGGUUAAGUCCCGCAACGAGCGCAACCCUUUUCCUUAUUUGCCAGCGGGUUAAGCCGGGAACUUUAAGGAUACUGCCAGUGACAAACUGGAGGAAGGCGGGGACGACGUCAAGUCAUCAUGGCCCUUACGGCCAGGGCUACACACGUGCUACAAUGGUCGGUACAAAGGGUUGCUACCUCGCGAGAGGAUGCUAAUCUCAAAAAGCCGAUCGUAGUCCGGAUCGCAGUCUGCAACUCGACUGCGUGAAGUCGGAAUCGCUAGUAAUCGCGGAUCAGAAUGCCGCGGUGAAUACGUUCCCGGGCCUUGUACACACCGCCCGUCACACCAUGGGAGUUUGUUGCACCAGAAGUAGGUAGUCUAACCGCAAGGAGGACGCUUACCACGGUGUGGCCGAUGACUGGGGUGAAGUCGUAACAAGGUAGGCGUAGAUGA